UACGUAGGGGGCAAGCGUUGUCCGGAAUCAUUGGGCGUAAAGCGCGUGUAGGCGGUCCGGUAAGUCCGCUGUGAAAGUCGGGGGCUCAACCCUCGAAUGCCGGUGGAUACUGUCGGACUAGAGUGCGGAAGAGGCGAGUGGAAUUCCUGGUGUAGCGGUGAAAUGCGCAGAUAUCAGGAGGAACACCAAUUGCGAAGGCAGCUCGCUGGGACGUUACUGACGCUGAGACGCGAAAGCGUGGGGAGCAAACAGG
rnacentral:rRNA from 1 species